UACGUAGGGUGCGAGCGUUAAUCGGAAUUACUGGGCGUAAAGCGUGCGCAGGCGGUUUUGUAAGCCAGAUGUGAAAUCCCCGGGCUCAACCUGGGAAUGGCAUUUGGGACUGCAAGGCUGGAGUGCGGCAGAGGAGACUGGAAUUCCUGGUGGUAGCAGUGGAAAUGCGUAGAUAUCAGGAGGAAUACCGAUGGCGAAGGCAGGUCUCUGGGACUGACACUGACGCUCAUGCAC
rnacentral:rRNA from 1 species